rnacentral:snoRNA from 1 species
AAAAAAGUAGAGGUCUGUACUUUUGUCCUCUGAGCUGGCUUCUCGUAAACUUCAAAGAAAUUUUUUGCAACCUUUGUAAACUAUACCUGUGAUAAAGGUUCAAUAAAUGUUGCGACAUUA